rnacentral:ncRNA from 2 species
GAAGCCGGUGAGAAUCCGGCGCGGUCGCGCCACUGUGAGGGUGACGGGCAUCCCCGACACCCGAGUCAGACCA